GAUGAACGCUGGCGGAGUGCCUAAUACAUGCAAGUCGAGCGAACGGACGAGAAGCUUGCUUCUCUGAUGUUAGCGGCGGACGGGUGAGUAACACGUGGAUAACCUACCUAUAAGACUGGGAUAACUUCGGGAAACCGUAGCUAAUACCGGAUAAUAUUUUGAACCGCAUGGUUCAAAAGUGAAAGACGGUCUUGCUGUCACUUAUAGAUGGAUCCGCGCUGCAUUAGCUAGUUGGUAAGGUAACGGCUUACCAAGGCAACGAUGCAUAGCCGACCUGAGAGGGUGAUCGGCCACACUGGAACUGAGACACGGUCCAGACUCCUACGGGAGGCAGCAGUAGGGAAUCUUCCGCAAUGGGCGAAAGCCUGACGGAGCAACGCCGCGUGAGUGAUGAAGGUCUUCGGAUCGUAAAACUCUGUUAUUAGGGAAGAACAUAUGUGUAAGUAACUGUGCACAUCUUGACGGUACCUAAUCUGAAAGCCACGGCUAACUACGUG
rnacentral:rRNA from 1 species